UACAGAGGGUGCGAGCGUUAAUCGGAUUUACUGGGCGUAAAGGGCGCGUAGGCGGUCAUGUAGGUGUUGUGUGAAAGCCCUGGGCUUAACCUAGGAAGAGCACGGCAAACGAUAUGACUGGAGUAUAAGAGAGGGUGAUGGAAUUUCCGGUGUAGCGGUGAAAUGCGUAGAGAUCGGAAGGAACGUCAAUGGCGAAGGCAAUCACCUGGCUUAAUACUGACGCUGAGGCGCGAAAGCGUGGGGAGCAAACAGG
rnacentral:rRNA from 2 species